rnacentral:rRNA from 1 species
UACGGAGGGUGCAAGCGUUGUCCGGAUUUAUUGGGUUUAAAGGGUGCGUAGGCGGCGCAUUAAGUCAGUGGUGAAAGCCGGCAGCUCAACUGUCGAAUUGCCAUUGAUACUGAUGUGCUUGAGUACAUACGAGGUAGGCGGAAUUGAUGGUGUAGCGGUGAAAUGCAUAGAUACCAUCAAGAACACCGAUUGCGAAGGCAGCUUACUAGUCUGUAACUGACGCUGAGGCACGAAAGUGUGGGGAUCAAACAGG